GUCAAUGGCCAUGCCACCCUGAAGCCCAGUCUCGUCUGAUCUCAGACGCUAAGCAGGGUCGGACCUCGUUAGUACUUGAGUGGGAAACCACUAAGAAUACCAGGUGCUGUAGGCA
rnacentral:rRNA from 1 species